UGCGCUGGCCUUCCUCGUCCAGUCGCUGCAGCGCUCGCCUUGAAUCUGCAGGUCUCGGCAAAUGCCCGAUUAUAAGAAUCAUCUGUGGGGCUGGUUAAAAGUAUAAAUUAACAGGCUUGUCCCUGAGAUGUUCGGAUUCAGUAUUACUGGAUACAGAAAUGGAGACGCAAAGAGUUUGUUGCCCUGAUUACGUAGCUAUAGGCUGAAGACGAGGCUUUGAACUCAGGUGUUCCGAAUCCAAAUCUGGCAGUGUUUAACCUAAGUCUUCUGGGUCCUGUGAAGAAUAAGAGAAGAAUAAAAAGGACAACGUCCUCCCUGUUAGCAACUUCCCACCUCAGUGGGUGCCUCCUGUGCGAUGGGAACUUUCUAUCUGGAGACACUUGAGACAGACCGCAGUAUGUGACUGUACGCAAUUCACAUCCAGAGAGAGAGGCCCAGACUGCAGAUGCCAGCAGACAUCGGGUUGAGCGUGGGCUGGAGGAAGGCGCCAUUGAUCGUGUACUGCUUAAACCGAGCCCUGAUGUUUGGAAUGAUCUGGAAGGAAUUGGAGGGGUGGACACUCCUGAUUCUGACAAUGGGACGAGCACGCUCUGCCCAGAUUCCUUGUUCCUGCACCGUGGGGACUUGCCUUCUUAUUUCCUCGCCCUUCUCCCCGCCAUGGCAGUCCCCUACCCCCAAGUCUUUUUGGCUUCAGACCUUUCCUCCCUGCUUCCCUCUCACUGGAAGUAACCAGCCCUGCCACUCGUGCUCACUGCACAGAUGUUUCCCUCGGUGCUCCCAGAAGACCCAGAUGUCCUAGUGCAGUGGAAACAACGUGUGUGACACACUGGCCGCAGACUUGGAGUUCACGCUGACCUGGGUCUGGAUCCUGCUCUGCUUGAGACGCGUGGCCGCGGGCGAGCUGAUCGCAGGUUGGGCCUCUACAUCAUCUCCUGUACCUCAGGGCUAUUUUCUGGAUGAGAUGAGAUAAUGCAUGGGUAAAAGGUCUGAUGCAGGUAGAGACACCCCCAAAAAUACUGGUUCCAGCUUUGCCCCAGUUUAUUUCAGCCAAGCCUGCUGGCAAAGAGGACCAGCCAGGGGGAUGGAAGAGUGAAAGCACUCACACUGGGGAAUCUGAUCACACUGGCCUUGGUCCUGGUUCCUGGUUCCAGGAGAGUGACUUAUCUGGAGUCUUCCCAGGAGCUGUGCUCAGGACGAAACCGGACAAUGUACGCGAAGUGGUGCACCCAGAGGUUGACAUGUAGAAAGUGCUACAGCAUCACCAUCGUGGCUGAGCCCAGGCCACAGAAACUGAACCAACCCCGUGGUGGCUUCGGGCAGAACAUUUGUACCAGCCUUAGAAAGAUGAUGAAAUACGUUGCAAAUGAUGGAUCGUCUCUACAAAGCCUUUACACAGAUAGGCGCUCCAUUUCUAGUAGGGGUUCCUGGGGGCCGGGAUCAUUUGGAAAUAAAUAGGGCCUGGGAGCGCCAGCACGACUGAUGUUCUUGACUUGCCCUUGGGAGCUCACACACAACAUCCCAUCCUCAGGAUUCACACGAUGCCAAGGGCUCAUCAUGCGUCAAGAACAGAGUAACCAAACCCGGGGCAGUUGGCAUUCUGGGGCGCUUUGUCUGGUAACCUAACAGACAAAGCCAGCAUAUGGACAACAGCCUGCCAGCCUGCUUCAGGCAGGGCAGAGCCCAGGGACAGGGGGCUCUCCUCACCUGCUUGUUAGAAUGACAGCAGCAGAAAUAGGUCAAAGGUGAAUGCACCGAAUAUCUUCCUGUUUUCAGGUGCACAGCAGGAUUGAAUGGUUGCCUCAUCCCAGGAGCCCGCAGAGGGUGAACGGGCAGAACUGAAAAGGGAAGGAGACUCAGCUGAGAUGAGGCCAACCCCAGCGCAUUUUAAAUCAGGGCCCUGAGUGCCCUGGGCCUUCCCUGGGACUCGGCCUCAGGGCCUGCUUUUAUUAUCUUUACACCGCUCGGGUCCACGCAGGUUUGGCGGGCAUGAGACACGGAACAGAGGGACCCAAGUGAAUCAGCCUUCAGGAAUAGAACUGCUUGCAGGAAAAGUGCUCUUGCUGCGACGUAUUUUCACGCUUCUAGACCUGCUUAAAAUACGUGGUGUUAACAGAGCCUGCCCUUACUAUGAGAAGGUGGGCUGUGCAGCUGAGACCAGGCAGGAGUACGCUGAGGACACCAGUAAGAACAAAAGCAGCUCAAACACAUUGAGUGCUUACUAUGUGCCAGGUACUUCUGAGCGUUUGACCUAUGUUAAUGCAGGCACCCCUGCUUUUUAAUCUUGAUUUCCCUUAGGAAUUUGCUCUGUGUCCUUGAGAACUUACCCAUCUUCUUUAAACAAAGAGAGAAUCACAUGCAUUUCAUAGGUUUGGGGAGAGAAUUAAAUGUAGCUAAUGUGGGGGCGCCUGGGUGGCU